AUACGGAGGAUCCGAGCGUUAUCCGGAUUUAUUGGGGUUAAAGGGUGCGCAGGCGGUCAUUUAAGUCAGCGGUUAAAUCGUGGGGCUCAACCCCAUUCUGCCGUUGAUACUGGGUGGCUUGAUUGCGGUCGAGGUUGGCGGAAUUCGUUGUGUGCGGGUGAAAUGCAUAGAUAUGACGAAGAACACCGCUUGCGUAGGCAGCUGACCAGACCGCAAAUGACGCUCAUGCACGAAAGUGCGGGGAUCGAACAGGAUUAGAUGCCCUGGUAGUCCGCACAGUAAACGAUGAAUACUUGUUUUCGGCGAUAUAAUGUCGGAGGCAAAGCGAAAGCGAUAAGUAUUCCACCUGGGGAGUACGCCGGCAACGGUGAAACUCAAAUGAAUUGGCGGGG
rnacentral:rRNA from 1 species